AAACCAACAGGGAUUGCCCUAGUAACGGCGAGUGAAGCGGCAACAGCUCAAAUUUGAAAUCUGGCUCUCGGGCCCGAGUUGUAAUUUGUAGAGGAUACUUUUGAUGCGGUGCCUUCCGAGUUCCCUGGAACGGGACGCCAUAGAGGGUGAGAGCCCCGUCUGGUUGGAUGCCAAAUCUCUGUAAAGUUCCUUCAACGAGUCGAGUAGUUUGGGAAUGCUGCUCUAAAUGGGAGGUAUAUGUCUUCUAAAGCUAAAUACCGGCCAGAGACCGAUAGCGCACAAGUAGAGUGAUCGAAAGAUGAAAAGCACUUUGAAAAGAGAGUUAAAAAGUACGUGAAAUUGUUGAAAGGGAAGCGUUUAUGACCAGACUUGGGCUUGGUUAAUCAUCUGGGGUUCUCCCCAGUGCACUUUUCCAGUCCAGGCCAGCAUCAGUUUUCCCCGGGGGAUAAAGGCGGCGGGAAUGUGGCUCUCUUCGGGGAGUGUUAUAGCCCACCGUGUAAUACCCUGGGGGGGACUGAGGUUCGCGCAUCUGCAAGGAUGCUGGCGUAAUGGGCAUCAACGAC
rnacentral:rRNA from 1 species